AAUGUUUCAGUCGGAAGAGUAACCUCAAAUUACACCUUGUUACACACACUGAUGCAAGAAGUCAUGAGUGUGAAGUUUGUGGGAAAAGGUUCAAACUGAAGAGCAUAUUGGACAGGCACGUCUUCAGACACUCUGGUCAUAAAGGGUUCAAGUGCGAUGUUUGUGGGAAACGUUUCAUGACUAAGGGUGAGAUUGUCAGGCACAUGAAGGUCCACUUCUCCUGAGGUGCUGUGCUGAUUCAGUUCUGCUGUGUGUGUGAGUGCAAGUGGUUGUUGUGGUGGUGUUACAGGGCUGUGUGUAGCACAGAGAACAGAAAAUAUUCAUCUGUUGGAACAAAUGGUGACUGUGACGGCAUGAUCUGUUAUUCACUUUCCACCCCAGGCUUCAUGUGGUUGGUGGGUCCUGUGAAAGGUCUGAUCUUUUUGGUGACUGUGCUGGGCUGGCUGUUGUGGCCUGGGCUUAUUGGUCAAGUGUGUGUGUGUUAAUAGUAAUAAUAUAGUGUAUUUGGUCUUGCCAGCCGCUAAGCUAAAAAUGUACACAUUAUAAACACAUUGUAAAGAACAGCAGGUAGGGGUUCAGGGAUCUAACACAUCAGUGGGAGGUUGGAAUGAUAGUGGUGGGAGGGUUGAGUGCAGUGUGGUGGUGCCGGGGAGUGGGAGGACAUCCUCUUCCAGAUGGUGGCAAGGUGUUAGUCCCAAGGUGUGACAUUCAUGUAGGUGUGAAAGAGGGGUGACGAUAUGAUUGAGCACAUGCUACUUGAGUGAUGUAUGUAUAUAAGAGAGAAAAGGGGAUUAUGGUAACAGUUGUGACUGAAUGGAAUAGGAUGUUGGAGAGGGAUGUAAAAAGGUUAAAUGCAUGCAAUAUUAUUUCAGCUGAGGUCAUUUUCAAAGCAGACAAUUGUUGUCAUUCAGUAGAUCAUGUCAUUCUUAAUCAUCAGAAAUCAUUUUCAAGACUCAAUUCUGACCUGUCACAUUGCGUAGAUCUUGUCAUUCUUAGUCAGUUGAGGUCAUCUUGAAGCCAACAAUUCUUGUUUCAUAGUUCAAUUCUUGUCAUUUUCCCUCUUUUUGUUCCUCAGAUAUAUUUUUCAAAUUAAUAUCAUAUUUAUUUCCAUUUAUUUCAUUUUGGGAGCAGGCAUAAAGGCCAGGUUAUGUUAGGUUACCUUAUAUUUAGUUUAAUUAGGUCAGAUGAGGUUAGGUUACAUUUAAUUUGAUUAGGGUAGUUAGUUUUAAUUGUGUUCAAUGAAUGUGUAAUAUGCUUCAGUUAUAUAAUGUGUACUCGCCAUUGCCAAUGGAGCUUGGGAAUAAUAACACAUGACUUAGUCAUUCACUUUUUUUUUAUUGGAUUAACCUGCAGUUUGAGUAUUACAGCUUGAUGUAGCACGUAACAGCUGAUACAGCACAACAAAUAAGUAAUUACUGAGAAAUCAUCUAUACAGGAAGGUAGUUGGUGUGGAAGAGAAAUGGCUACUAACUCUGCCCUGUGCACAGGGGGUGAUAAGUGGUGCCACAAAGAGAUGCUCAGGGCUGAGAAAUGUAAAUCAAGUAGUGGUGCAUUACAGGUGCCCAGUUUGUGAAAGACGGGACAGGAAACGGAGGAAAUAGGUAACUGGAACUGUGUGGCAAAGCAGAAGGGAGGAAAGGACCUGCAGAAGCCACUGCCUCAACAGACUAUUGGAAAUGGUUUGACUAUAGUAAGUCUG